GAGAAAGAGAUAGAAAGAGAGAGAGAAAAGAGAGAGGAGAAAGAGAGUAUCGAGAUAGAAGGAAGUCUGGCAUGGUUUUUGGUCGGCGACCGACGAUAGUGGUAGGUAGGGUUUCAAGGUGAUUUUUCAGGCCGUAGUGCCGGCUAGGGUUUCACGAGGUCGUCUGACAAGGGAAUGCUAGGGUUGUAUGUUUGGAGAUGAUACGACAGAGAUGAACAACCCUAGAAUCAACAAUAGGCGGCAACUAGGUUUGUUCCUAUUUUGAAGAUGAUACGACAGAGAUGAACAACCCUAAAACACUGAUUUAAAGAAACCCUAACCGAAUUGCAGCCUCUGUUAGCAAUGUCGUUAGAUGUCUUGUAUUGGAACUUGCUGUCUGGAGUAGCUGGAGUGGUCAUGGGUCGACUGGAAGGAUUCAUGUGAUUGAUUAUUGACAGUAUACAUUGGUUUCAAAUAACUUAACUAUGGUUUACUAUUUGCUUCCGCUGAAUAUGUUGGCUUUCAUUUAAACUUGUUGAUGGUAUUUUUAUUUAUAAUUGAGAACUUUAUU
rnacentral:lncRNA from 1 species